rnacentral:snRNA from 1 species
AAGACUAUACUUUCAGGGAUCAUUUCUGUAGU